rnacentral:rRNA from 1 species
UGGCUCAGGACGAACGCUGGCGGCGUGCCUAAUACAUGCAAGUCGAGCGAGUCUGCCUUGAAGAUCGGAGUGCUUGCACUCUGUGAAACAAGAUACAGGCUAGCGGCGGACGGGUGAGUAACACGUGGGUAACCUGCCCAAGAGAUCGGGAUAACACCUGGAAACAGAUGCUAAUACCGGAUAACAACAGAUGAUGCCUAUCAACUGUUUAAAAGAUGGUUCUGCUAUCACUCUUGGAUGGACCUGCGGUGCAUUAGCUAGUUGGUAGGGUAACGGCCUACCAAGGCGAUGAUGCAUAGCCGAGUUGAGAGACUGAUCGGCCACAUUGGGACUGAGACACGGCCCAAACUCCUACGGGAGGCAGCAGUAGGGAAUCUUCCACAAUGGACGCAAGUCUGAUGGAGCAACGCCGCGUGAGUGAAGAAGGGUUUCGGCUCGUAGAGCUCUGUUGUUGGUGAAGAAGGACAGGGGUAGUAACUGACCUUUGUUUGACGGUAAUCAAUUAGAAAGUCACGGCUAACUACGUGCCAGCAGCCGCGGUAAUACGUAGGUGGCAAGCGUUGUCCGGAUUUAUUGGGCGUAAAGCGAGUGCAGGCGGCUCGAUAAGUCUGAUGUGAAAGCCUUCGGCUCAACCGGAGAAUUGCAUCAGAAACUGUCGAGCUUGAGUACAGAAGAGGAGAGUGGAACUCCAUGUGUAGCGGUGAAAUGCGUAGAUAUAUGGAAGAACACCGGUGGCGAAGGCGGCUCUCUGGUCUGUUACUGACGCUGAGGCUCGAAAGCAUGGGUAGCGAACAGGAUUAGAUACCCUGGUAGUCCAUGCCGUAAACGAUGAGUGCUAAGUGUUGGGGGGUUUCCGCCUCUCAGUGCUGCAGCUAACGCAUUAAGCACUCCGCCUGGGGAGUACGACCGCAAGGUUGAAACUCAAAGGAAUUGACGG